CUUGACAAAAAAUAAGAGGUCCCGCCUGCCCAGUGACUCAUGUUCAACGGCCGCGGUAUCCUAACCGUGCGAAGGUAGCGUAAUCACUUGUUCUUUAAAUGAGGACUAGUAUGAAUGGCGCCACGAGGGUUACACUGUCUCCCUUUUUCAAUCAGUGAAACUAAUCUCCCCGUGAAGAAGCGGGGGUAAAAUUAUAAGACGAGAAGACCCUAUGGAGCUUUAAAUUUCAAUUCAUAUGCCUUCAACCCUAAAGCUUCCACUUUAUCCCUGCAAGAAUGGCAUAACGAAAUAGAAUUUUAGGUUGGGGUGACCGCGGAGCAAAAAACAACCUCCACAUUGGACUAGGCCUUCCACCUUGAGCAAUGAACUACAAUCCUAUGCGCAAAGAAAUUUUCAUUCAUUGACCCAAUUUUUUGAUCAACGAAC
rnacentral:rRNA from 1 species